rnacentral:rRNA from 1 species
GACGAACGCUGGCGGCGUGCUUAACACAUGCAAGUCGAACGGAAAGGCCCUGCUGUUGUGGGGUGCUCGAGUGGCGAACGGGUGAGUAACACGUGAGUAACCUGCCCUUGACUUUGGGAUAACUUCAGGAAACUGGGGCUAAUACCGGAUAGGAGCUCCUGCUGCAUGGUGGGGGUUGGAAAGUUUCGGCGGUUUGGGAUGGACUCGCGGCUUAUCAGCUUGUUGGUGGGGUAGUGGCUUACCGAGGCUGUGACGGGUAGCCGGCCUGAGAGGGUGACCGGCCACAUUGGGACUGAGGGACGGCGCAGACUCCUACGGUAGGCAACAGUGGGGAAUAUUGCCCAAUGGGCGGAAGCCUGAUGCAGCAACUCCGCGUGCGUGAUGACGGCCUUCUGGUUGUAAACCGCUUUCGCCUGUGACGAAGCGUGAGUGACGGUAAUGGGUAAAGAAGCACCGGCUAACUACGUG